UGGGGAAUAUUGGACAAUGGGCGCAAGCCUGAUCCAGCCAUUCCGCGUGAGUGAUGACGGCCCUAGGGUUGUAAAGCUCUUUCAACGGUGAAGAUAAUGACGGUAACCGUAGAAGAAGCCCCGGCUAACUUCGUGCCAGCAGCCGCGGUAAUACGAAGGGGGCUAGCGUUGUUCGGAAUUACUGGGCGUAAAGCGCGCGUAGGCGGACUUUCAAGUCAGGGGUGAAAUCCCGAGGCUCAACCUCGGAACUGCCUUUGAUACUGAUGGUCUUGAGUCCGAGAGAGGUGAGUGGAAUUCCUAGUGUAGAGGUGAAAUUCGUAGAUAUUAGGAAGAACACCAGUGGCGAAGGCGGCUCACUGGCUCGGUACUGACGCUGAGGCGCGAAAGCGUGGGGAGCAAACAGGAUUAGAUACCCGCGUAGUCC
rnacentral:rRNA from 1 species